GCGCUCUGUCUCUAAGAUCCCGGGGCUGCGGAUGUGAGCGCCCCUCUGCUCCCGCCAGGCCAGAGAGCCGCUGUUAGGAGUCCGGCCGUGCAACCCUUCCUAGCGGCCUCGGCCUUCCCGUAAGGAACCAGAGAGCGCGACACAUGCAGAGAUCCUCACAAAUCAAAACGCAGACCCUUCCAGCCGGAUAGAGGGCGAGCUCCACGCCCGCACUUCACCACGCUGGACGCCCCGGGUCGAGGCGGGCGGCUUCAGGCCUGCGAGGUUCCCGGCUCGCUCAGCGCCCUCCUCCCCUCCCCAGUGGGGCGAGGCAUCAGGUUGGGUCUUUCUUCCCAUCCUUCUGGACUUCGACUUGGACCUGGGUGUGCACCCCUUAGAUGCGGAGCCCUGACUCCGUUACUCAAGUGCGCAGUCUGGUGAAGGAGGUGGGGGAAGAAGAGAGGCGCUCAGAUCAUCCCCAGCUCCUUCUCUUUCUUUUUUAAAAUUUAAAAGGUUUAUAAAGCAAACAAAUCACAGUAA
rnacentral:lncRNA from 1 species